rnacentral:misc_RNA from 2 species
AACGCACCUUGCGCCCUUUGGCCAUUCCGAAGGGCAUGCCUGUUUGAGUAUCAUGAACACCUCAACUCUUCAUGGUUUUCUGUGAUGAGCUUGGACUUUGGGGGUUUUGCUGGCCUACAGUCAGCUCCUCCAAAAUGAAUCAGCUUGCCAGUGUUUGGUGGGCAUCACAGGUGUGAUAACUAUCUACGCUUGUGGUUUUCCACCAGGUAACCUUCAGCAGUGGAGGUUCACUGGAGCUCACAGACGUCUCUCCUCAGCGAGGACAGCUCUUUGAAUGUUUGAUCUCAAAUCAGGUAGGACUACCCGCUGAACUUAA